rnacentral:rRNA from 1 species
UACGUAGGGAGCAAGCGUUGUCCGGAAUUACUGGGCGUAAAGAGCGUGUAGGCGGCCCUUUAAGUCAGAUGUGAAAACUCAGGGCUCAACCCUGAGACGGCAUCUGAAACUGGAGGGCUUGAGUGCAGGAGAGGAAAGUGGAAUUCCUAGUGUAGCGGUGAAAUGCGUAGAUAUUAGGAGGAACACCAGUGGCGAAGGCGACUUUCUGGACUGUAACUGACGCUGAGACGCGAAAGCGUGGGGAGCAAAC